rnacentral:rRNA from 1 species
GGACGAACGCUGGCGGCGUGCCUAAUACAUGCAAGUAGAACGCUGAAGGAGGAGCUUGCUCUUCUGGAUGAGUUGCGAACGGGUGAGUAACGCGUAGGUAACCUGCCUGGUAGCGGGGGAUAACUAUUGGAAACGAUAGCUAAUACCGCAUAACAUUGACUAUUGCAUGAUAGUCAAUUGAAAGGUGCAAAUGCACCACUACCAGAUGGACCUGCGUUGUAUUAGCUAGUUGGUGGGGUAACGGCUCACCAAGGCGACGAUACAUAGCCGACCUGAGAGGGUGAUCGGCCACACUGGGACUGAGACACGGCCCAGACUCCUACGGGAGGCAGCAGUAGGGAAUCUUCGGCAAUGGACGGAAGUCUGACCGAGCAACGCCGCGUGAGUGAAGAAGGUUUUCGGAUCGUAAAGCUCUGUUGUAAGAGAAGAACAAGUGUGAGAGUGGAAAGUUCACACUGUGACGGUAUCUUACCAGAAAGGGACGGCUAACUACGUG